GCUACUAAUUUUUCGAUAAAAUUUCGCCGGAAAAAGUUUAUCCAUCAUCGGUAAACAGUCAACGUUGGUUCUCUCCGGCCAAAUUCCUCGCCGGAAACGACCCCACACCACUGGAACAGUAGAAGCAGCCGGCAAACUGCCAGCGCCGCCAACCUCCCCCUCCCUUUUCCCGGCGCCGCCUCUUCUCUUCCUUUUUUCCUUCCCACGAGCUGCUGCUCCGUUUACCGGCCAAAUUCUGGCCAAUUUCGCCGGAAAAAUCCUUUCAAAACCACCGUCGCCAGAAAACCCAUAAAAUCGGCAACCCAAC
rnacentral:lncRNA from 1 species